UCGUGCUAGACGGGGAGUUGGCGGCCCCUUGUAACCCGCAAUCCGCCAUAGCGGGGUGGAAUUCCGACCCCAGGGCUGGCAAACUUGGGUCAGCCUGUCGAGCGCGGCGUUGAGGGCCGGGCCCGGCGCAACGGUGAUGCUCGAACCUGGUCAGGGCCGGAAGGCAGCAGCCAUAAGGGCUAAUCACCGCGUGCCGCCGACCGCCCGGCAGGAGCUAGCGACGAUGGUACCGCCAAGUGCGUCAGUUCGAAGGUCGGUGCACGG
rnacentral:SRP_RNA from 1 species